AAACAGCUUUGCAGAAAAAAUGAAAUAAUUUGAUCUCAAUUGUCUUAUCAAGAACAGUAUUCUCACGGUUUUCUGAUAUAUCAGUUCAGUGUGUGGUUUCUGAAUGUCCCAACUUGUGGUUGCUUUACAGAGAGGAAGCAGACCGAUAACAAACCUUGUGGCAUCUUUUUGUGUCAUACUGGGUUAAAAUGUGUAGUGCAAUGCAUGUAUGAAGAAUGCUGACGUAUCAUGCCUGCUGGUUGCAGUGCGUCAUACCAGAGUCAAAUUAUCAGUGUCAAGCAACCUGCCAAUUACUGCAUCUAGCAAAUUGGGACCUUACCAAAUAGACAGAGCACACUCUGAAAAUGCUUAAUAUUUCAACAAAAUUAUAGCUAACAUCAGUUCAUAACUGCACGUUCAUACCACCAGCAGUAGGAUGGAGUUUACAAGGAUCAAACUUUUGAACUCCCCCCCCCCCCUUUUUUUUUCUUAAAGUUCAACACCUGAAAUAAGCAAGAUAAGUCACAGCAGCAAAAACUAUGGUGGUACUGAAAAGUCUGGCAUCAUUCUCAUCAGUUAAGCCUCAGCCGAAAUAACUAAAAACAACUUUUCAUAAUAACUCUUUAACGGUUGGAAGACUCUGCAAGAAAUAGUUCUGUAUGGAUGCAGACUAAUAACAUAACCUGUCAAUCAGGGCUGCAUAGAAAUUUACGAGAUUUUAAGCAGCAAUUCUUCAGGAGUUCACGGGAGGAAAAAGACAAUUGAGUAGCGAGAUAUGAGGUGCUACUGUAAUGAGCCAAGCAGGAUUUUGGCAAGUGCUGAUAUAGAUUUUUAAGGAGGAAAAACAGCUUUUAUAUCUCUAUAAAGAGCAGUAAAUCUACCAGGGCUGCACUGAAUGGUGCAAGAGCAAUUUUACUUAGUAACUGGGCUAUAUCUUAAACCCCAUUUUAGACACUUCAGCAUAAAACAAUAGCUUGUACAGUCACUGUGACAUGCUGAUGCAAAAACUAAUGGUUGAUGUAAUAUAGAAAGUAUGGACAUAAAGGGACAAACAAAAUUAAACUGGCACAGCCUAUAGUUAGCUCCGAUUUACCAAGUUUUCUGGAAUUUAUGACAGAAGGGUUCAGGUGAACAACAUCCUGUGAUUACUUAAAUAGAAGCUCAACUAUCUAAUAAUUUAUUUGUCGUUUUAUUCAUCUUCUCCUCCACAUCGUCUUUUCCUAUACUUUUGAUAUGUACAUACUACCUUUUUUUCCCCUUCUGUUUAUGCUGGUCUUGGAGGAGCUACCUUGCUUGUAUCUUUACCCUGCCCUUUCCUUCCUUUUCAACAGUACUGUGCUUGCAGUGACAUUUGCUGUAAAUGUUGCAUCCUACUGUUCACUGAUUCAGACUAUUUCGAUUCGUCCUUGCCAAAACAAAAGUCUCAGCAGUUCUCAAAGCCUAUACCUUCAUCUUUUUUGUCAUAACGCUUCCUCUUUUUGCUAUUACACUCAGUUUAGUUACUGUUUCAGUCUGUGUUUCACACCAUGCAACUUUCUGCUCACUCUACAUCCUGCCUAUGAUUUAACUCUUACCAUCUCUCAACACAAAAAAAAGUCUCGUCCUCUCCCUCUUUCCCCUUGCCCCAUAUGUGACUCACUCAUUUUCCCAGUAUCUAACCCCCUCUAUCACACGCUCCCUAAGACUCAGGCCCUUAAAAGGAAGUAACCCUGUACUGCUUAUAGCUGCAUUGGUGUUAACCCUUUCCCAUCACCACAGCCAUCAGGUUUGCCAAUGCCUCUAAUGUCUUUAAGCUCAAACUGACUUCUAUUUUUCUUGUGUUUAUUACUUCAAUCUGUCACAAAAUGUGAUAUUAAAGUAAUAUUGUCAAAACAUUCUCACUAAUACAAUUUCCUGUAUUACCCGUGUUUAUGGGAACUUGUGGAUAGUUUUUGACCACUAAAAAUCAAAUGCACUCCAUAGUAAACUUGUAGCAAGUAACCAGAAAACCAAAAAAAUGUGCCCUGCCAUUUCCUAGUUACAGAUUCACACAGGGAGCAAAAUGUUUUCUUUGUGUCAAGUAGAUGGUACAUUCUGGCUUUUUAAAAUGUACUACUUUCCAAAGUCAACUUGUGGCUGGCUGUAGUUUAACAAACCUGUCGUCUUUUGUUUUUGGUGAGAAAGAUAACUCAAAGAGUCAUCUAUGCAGUGGAAAGCUAAACACAUCCCUUAGGAGAUGGUUUACUGUGUAACCCAAAAAGCACACAAUUCACACAGAAAAAAUAAAAUUAAUUGGCUGCACAGCUUACAUGUGAGAGGUGGCUGAAAAGAUCGACAAUACAGCUAAGAAUGUAAUGUUUAUUUUGAUUACUCAGCUAUCUGAAAUCUGACUUAAGUAUAUACUCCAAGUUAUCACAAAAGUCUCACUAAAAUUUCAAAGUUUGUAAGCAGCAGCAGCAAUGGCAGCACAGACACAGGCGUACGAAGGCUUUUGCAAAUGAUAUUCAAGCACUAGAGAAAGUGCUUAUUUAAGGUCUUUGAAAAUCCCCCAUGCCCCUGGUAGUGUUAAUACUAUGCAAUUCCCAAGUAUUUACACAGGCUAGCAGUUAGUGCAGCGAAAGAAGCACCACUGUGUUACAAACAUCAUGAGUGUGCUAUCUUUUUCAAUUACUGGACAUCACACAACAUCAAUGAAAAAAAAACCCCAAAUAAAACCAGACAAACUAUGCUACAUGACACCAAGACUAAUCAGCAUCAAGUGUAACUUUAAUCCAGCAGCAGCUACUUAAUGUAAUCCUGACCAUUCUGAGUAAACUAAGAGUGGUUACUCUUCACUGAUGAUUGUCUACUGAAUAAAAUACAUAUUACUGACUCAUAACCUAGUAGUUAUGACUUGAUUAUGGGACUGACCAAGCUAAAUGACUACACUGUAGUUUGUUUUCCCAGACUUCUUCUCUCAGGGGGGCAAUACACUGUCUCUAAUGACCAAUAUGCUGCCUCCUCCCAAAAAGAAAUUCUUAGAAACACCACAUUCAUGAAGACAGCUAAUAGUUACUGGGCAUCACUGAUGACAGCUUUAUGCUGAUGUCAAAGCUGAUGCACAGUGUAAUGCGUACUUGUGCCAGUAUCGAGGAAUCUGUGCAAUCUUGCACAAGAAAAAUGAUGUUAAAAAAAAUGGUUCAUAUUACAAAAAACAGAGGAAGACCACAGGAACAGUUUAAAUUCCUGCGGAAAUGGUGCUGAAGGAUUCACCUGUGUUUUGGAGGAAUUAGGACUAGGAGAUUAUGAGGUUAACACGAUGCUUCUAACACAAUUCAGCCAAGUGUGGCUGAGUAUUGGCAGUGCUAGCAGCCCAAAACAAACUGCCAGAGACCAGUAACAGCCAAGAUAUGAACACGAGUAUAAAUUUCCAUUUUAAAAAAAAAAAAAGUAUAAAGACCAAAAAAGGUUUGGUUUGUAAGAAGUGUUUAGUAUGUUAAUGUUAGCAGAAUCUGAGAUAUAACUGACAGUUUGCUGGAUUAUAAAUCUGCACAAGUUGGGCAUUAUUAUCAGUCACCUGUGGAAACUGACACUGCAGAACGUAUAUGACAGCAAUCCCCCUUCUGACUUUAUCUGGUACUAAAUUUAUGAACCUAGCUGGUGUAGUUUUUCUGCAACAUUUAUCAUCUGUAAAUAGCAGGAAAUAAUUUAUAGUCCUUAGCUUCAGGCGCUUGUGUCAUGACCAACCUCGAUUCCCCUUUUGGUGACUCCGAUGUCGUGCAGAGAACUCCCAGAUUACUGUCCUGCAGUUUUCUGUGCUUUUGCUUUUCCAUUUUUUGUGAGCAAGACUUUAGUUGAAAGAGAUGAACACAGACCUCUCCUACAUUGAGUUUUUCUUCACUCAAAUAGCUGUAUUAAAGAUUGAAAUGUUUAUGGAAUAAAACUUAACAGACCAAUGAAGACUGUCUGCGACAUGUCAGACUAGAGAUUCACCAGUAAUGAAAAUAAUCUGAGCUUUGGCAAGUACAUUAACAGGAACUAAGGUUAGUUUGCAGACUACAUGCAUACAGCAGCAACAUCUAUCAUAACCUUCUAGAAAGUGAGAAUGUAGUGCGCAUUUAUGUACAGGGUGCCAUAAAUAAAUAUCCCCAACAUAGAGACACAAUUUAUAAUCUUUUUUUGUUGUUGUUGCUUAGUUAAGUUUAGUGUAUAUAGACACGUUUUCGUAACCGCUUAUAGGCCGAAGCAUCUUUAAUUAUGUCACCAUGUGAGGUGUACAGGUGCUACACAAACGCAUUACAAAGCAUCCAAUUUAAAAUUAAAUACCACACAUAAUUUAGCACAACAACAUACCUAGCCAUUAUGAAUACCAUUACUUUGAUAGAUUGAUAAAGAUCUAUGUAUCCCAUGUCAGAAAAGAUCUCAAGGGAUGACACAUCCUCCAUAUGACAAAGGCAACCAAAGCAAAAAAACAUGAAUAGCUAUAAUGAAUCAUGUCCCAUCUGGCCAAUAUCAGUAUUAGUACCAAUAUUACUCCUCACACCAGACAGUGGUAUUACAGCCACUGACUGGUUACUGCUCAGGAUGGUAUUUUGUACUCUUAUUUAUGUACUCUCAGGACCCGAAGGAUCUUGCAAAUUUGUGCAAGAUGUGCACACUUGCAAAUGUGAAAAUGUGCAUUCCCAGGGCACCAAUGUCCAUACACUGAAUUGUAAAGGCUACUUUGGGGGUACAAAGAAGAUCUAUAUAAUAUUAGGGAGUUGGUGUUAUUGCUGUGGCUAACUGAUGUAAGAUUACUUGUACCCAUGAUAAUGCUGCAUGCAUUUAUUUUAAUCUGCAGGGUGACAAAAAAUGUCAUUAACGCCCAAGUAAAAACACACUAUUUCACCUUCAACAGUACUGUGUGGUGGUACAACUAUGAACUGCAGAACAGUCAGCCUGCACAGCCUAGAGCGUAACACAUUCUGAUCAAAGCACUGAAGUAUAACAUAAACAAGGCCAAUGUGGUUUCCCAUUACAUGACCAUUUACAGUCACAAAAGAGGGUCAAAAUUCCAAAUUCUCAAGCUUAUGUUUACAGUUAAAUGUCAAAUGGUAGUGAAUUUAAUUACCUAACUCAUGGGUACCACUUGUUAUGCCACUGAAGCAGCCAAGCGUGUUUGACCUGGUACUUCAGUCAAGUCAACAAAUCCAACCCAGUAUAAAAAAUUAGAUUGUGUUACUAUGGAAAUAAAGGAAGUUUAUUAGAUUUAAAAUGAUAAAUAUACAACAAACAGCAAAAGCAAACAAGUGACAGGUUGCAUUCAUCCUCCUUUUGUUUUUAAAUGACUCUUAUUUUCUUUGAUUCUCACUUGCAGCUUCAAUUCUUACUGACUGCCAAUGAACAGAGCAGCUACUCUUAAGAAGAAAAACAGUAACAGGGUUACACAAACCCAAAUUAUCAGAAGUGCAACGCAAGGACAGGGAUAUGAAAGUCGGUCAUAUCAAGGCUAUGCAAAUAUAUUGAUACAGAUACUUGUUACAGAAGGGAGGGCUGUGAACUACCAGUGACCUCCCAACUUUCUUUAUCUGAUUCACAAUUAUGUGAGACCGCUCCCUUUCACUGUCAUGUCCAGCAGCAAUUGGCUGAGAGUAUUUUCAAGGACAGUGGUUUCUAUGGUAACAAUAGCUGAAACAGUGUAGAGCGCCAUGUUGAAGGCAAUCUACAUGUCUUGAAGCAAACCAUUUCAUUUUUAUUUUAAAGGUAGUUAUUUAGACUCCCUAUUGUCAGGGCUACACAUUAUUCAAUAUGGAGGGUGGAUAGCCUCUUCUGCUGCCUAGCAGUGACGCCAAAGGUGGAUGAUAAGAUCGAUAGACUAUGGAGCAAAUUGUCCAACCCUGCAGACUAUUUUACUUCUUUUAUUACUGUGCUACCAUGUCACCUAAUGAGAUUGGGCAAGUACAUCAAGACAAACACACGCAGGCCAAGGGAGACAGGAGAUCGUGAAAAUGACACAGUAGGUUCCAGUGGAAACAGAACAGCAGGCUGACAGACCGAUUGGGAGAACAAAGGGAGGACAUGACUGUUGACAUAAAAUUCAAAUUCAAAUGUUUAAAGAGUGUAUAUAUCAGUUUCAACAUGAUGAUGUCAUCUUUGUCCUAUUUUCAAUUAAAAUAUGGGAUUUGCAUGAUUUGCAAAAUAUGAAUCAUAAAUUUCCUUUUACACAAUGUCCGCACAAUGUGUUAGCCAUGUGUUCUGUCAUGGCUAAACAGGUAAACAGCCUGCCAAUGGAGGACAUUACAUACUAAGUUAUUAUGAUUUCUAUGAUGAACAUAUUUUUGGUAGAAAUUAUUAAAAAAAUAAAUUGAUAACCGACCAGGUUUCAGGUUCGUCAGUUCAUUCUUAUCUCACAUCGCUAGGUUGUGAAACAGAUAAAACAACAACUGUUGGUCACAGGCUUAUCUGAGUUUACAGCCACUGCAUUGAACAGGCAGAUAUUUGGACUUUAUGCUAAAUGAACUAUUCGAAAUGUGUAUAUACAUACUCAGACAACAAAUUUUCCCUUCGGCAUUUACCUUUGAACCCUAUGUGAACACAAGUUUCCUCUACACCAGGGGUGUCAAUCAUAAGGCCUAGGGGCCAGAAUCAGCCUGGUAAAAACUCUAAUCCGGCCCACUGGAAGGCUUAGGGAAAUGGCUAUUCAUACUUCAAAAGUAAUUACGUAAGAGAUAAAGAAUUAAAUGACAGAAAAGUUCCUGUUUUAUCACCAUUCACUAUAGACAUUUCUGUUCAGGCCUAUAGUGGAUUUUUAUUUUUUAUUUUUAAUGGAGGACAUUUUUUGUGCAAUAACAAAACUUUUUGUAAUUACAGGAGUCUGGGCAAUGGGCUACCAGGAUGUUUUUUUUUCUGUAAUUUUACAUAUUUAAUUUGUGCUGACAGCUUUCUUCCAUUUGCUGCAUCAGCAUUUCUUUACCAUGUAGAAAAUCUGAGAUGUACUGUUGCACUUUUUUCUUAUAUAAAGAUAUUUCAGGGAUUAAAUAUGUAGUUAAACUUCCAUCCAUUGUCAGGACUUUCACUGAUUCAGUCCACUUAAAGCUGAAGUGAUGUAAAAUGAGUUUGACAACCCUGCUCUGUACUUUAUGCGCUAUAUUUUCCAUUUAUAGAUGUUUUCUAUAUGAAUACAUGAGAGCAACAUGAGCUAUGAGAGAAUUAUCAACAAUGGCUGCCCCAUGAAAAGGAAAAGCACUUGUUCACACAGGAAGUAUGUUUGCAGACAAUUCAACAGUGGCUAAGAGUGCUCAAAAAUGAGAAAACAAUAUAAGAUCUAUAGAUCUGAUACAUUUGUGAGGAUACAUCUUCAUGAAUCAGUUAGAGUGCCAUGAAAAUGUGUGAAAAAAAAUGAAAAGAAAAAAAAAAAAAGCAUUGGUUUACUUCUUAGUAAGGACCGGGAUUCCCAAAUUACAGCCUGGAGCUAUGGCCCUCUGAGACAAAUGUGGCGCCAGUAACAACCCUAAACGCUGGAGGAAUGAUUCCCACAUCCUUUAGUUGUAUUUGUUUCUUUUUAUAAUUUCUAUUCAGGUCUUUGUCAUCCUCCUUAACUUUGUUCCUAUCCCAUGCCCUCAUCUGUUCACUCCCCUCUGUAGUUCCCCCCGCUUCUCUCCCAAGAGAAACAUCAAUAAACGGGCAUGUUUCUGAUACCUAGAAUAUUGGUUUAGUGUUAGUUUUAUUGCCUUUAUUUGGCCAGUGAAUUGAAAUUAAAACUCUCUUUCUUUGUGGAUCGUCCAAAUUGGGGGGAAAAAGUAAAAACUGGUUAAAACAUUUUCUACAAAAAUAAAUAAAUAAAUAAAAAAAAUUAAAAACAUACAUGCUUCUCAGUUCUUUUACUUCCUGCUCUCCUUCUUACUUUAAUUUGCACAUCUUCAUAUAACUAUAGUAAGAUAAAUACAGCAUAUUUUGUUAGAACACUGGGGUAUACUAAAUAACUUUGAGCCUUUAACUUUUUCAAUAAAGACUACAGUUUUAUUUUUCAAGAAAGAGUGAAACUAAACUAUCAUUUCCACUGAUGGGAAGUCUGGCUUAUACCACAUUAUCUAUUGCACAUGGCAAUCAAAGGUGAGACGUAACACAUAAUGAACUGUGAAUUCACAAAACAUCACACACCUUCUUCUAAUGCACCAAACAGAUCAACACGAUGACAUGACAGCAGUCUGCACUGGUCAACCUGACCCUUCUGCACGACUGGGACAGAAACAUCCGUCUCCCAAAUGGCUUCGAGCCUGGAUUUAAUGUACACCAAGAAGGCUGGCAUCAUACUCAGAUCUGUUGUCCAGAAGUAUGUAAUCUAGAUGCCUCUGAUGGCAGUAAUAAAUCUACAUAGAUGUGUCACUGAAGGCUUUAAAUGGACUGGUGAGGCAGGGUUCAGACAGCAUUAUGAUUCCGAAGAAUAGUGUGCUGGAGCCACGGGAUGCAUAUGAACUUCAAACAGGUGCAGCAGAAGAUAACAUGCAAUCUCUCACUUUAAGCCAGUCAUCCCUCACCACUUCCUCAUUUUGCUGCAGGGACUAAGAUGGCUAGAGGAUAGAGAACAAGGAAGUACAAAGGUUCAAAUGAUGUCUACAAGCAAAUGCAUGCAAGCCAAGUUGUAUCAUAGCCUGCUGUACCAAUAACUGAUCUUAAGUGUUUUGUAAUGGCUUUACGCCUUUUUCUUGUUAAUUGUUUCUUAAUCAAAAGUCAUACUAACACAUUUGUACUAUUCUGUACUAGUCCAAAUGACACAAAAGGGGAUCCUAGUGAUAAACACAUGCGCUCCAUUCAAGUCUUAUUGUCAGACAUAAAAAUGUCCAUAUGGAGACAAUACCUUAUAUGGAAAAUGGAGAUUACGAUAGCUACAUAAAUGUCUCCUGGAAUCUCAUUUCCACAUGAAGUGUUUGAGACUUGAAGAGUUGCUAAAGAACUAACACUAUAGCCAUCUCUAGCUAUUGUAGUUUAUUGUUAUUUUAAAAAGAUAUAGAUCCAGAAAAUGAUGUAAAGACAAAUACUUCAAAAAGCCAUAUACAGAAAUAUACAAACAGGACAAGAGAAUUAAGAAAAUUUGAAUAAAAAAAAAAAAAAAAAAAAAAAAAAUUGUGAACCCUACAAAGAGAUGUGAAGAAACAGGCUCAUGAAAGGUAGAAAGAUAAGACUACAAAGACAUUUAAUGAAAGAGACACCAAGAUAAGAAAAGCUGAUAACAAAUUUUAAGCAGGAAAAAAAAAA